rnacentral:rRNA from 1 species
UACAGAGGUGGCAAGCGUUGUUCGGAAUUACUGGGCGUAAAGGGCGCGUAGGCGGUUCGUUAAGUCCUGUGUGAAAUCCCCCGGCUCAACUGGGGAACUGCACAGGAAACUAGCGGGCUUGAGUUCGGGAGAGGGAAGCGGAAUUCCGGGUGUAGCGGUGAAAUGCGUAGAUAUCCGGAGGAACACCGGUGGCGAAGGCGGCU